rnacentral:rRNA from 1 species
UUUGACAUGUACGGAAUUCGCCAGAGAUGGCUUAGUGCUCGAGAGAGAACCGUAACACAGGUGCUGCAUGGCUGUCGUCAGCUCGUGUCGUGAGAUGUUGGGUUAAGUCCCGCAACGAGCGCAACCCUUGUCAUUAGUUGCUACAUUCAGUUGGGCACUCUAAUGAGACUGCCGGUGACAAACCGGAGGAAGGUGGGGAUGACGUCAAGUCCUCAUGGCCCUUAUAGGUGG